rnacentral:rRNA from 1 species
GACGGAGGAUGCAAGCGUUAUCCGGAAUUAUUGGGCGUAAAGCGUCCGCAGGUGGCUGUUCAAGUCUGCUGUCAAAGCGCAGAGCUUAACUCUGUACAGGCGUUGGAAACUGAAGAGCUAGAGUAUGGUAGGGGUAGAGGGAAUUCCCGGUGUAGCGGUGAAAUGCGUAGAUAUCGGGAAGAACACCAGUGGCGAAAGCGCUCUACUGGGCCAUAACUGACACUGAGGGACGAAAGCUAGGGGAGCGAAAGGG